AGCAAAGACCUGCUCCUUCUUGUCUUGGUGCUAAAAAUACCAACCUUUCUUUGGACCGCCUGCUGAAAUUUGUUCCUAAGAUCUGCCCUGGGGAGAUGGCUGAGAGCACUCUCGGGGAAGGAGGGAGACUCGAGGUAUAGCUAGCUUGCAGAGGGGUGGUCACGCUGCUGGCCGGGUACUGGUAUUAGAAAGGCUAACCUCAGUGGUCGCCUCCUGCCUCUCUGAAAUGAGGCACAGGCACACUUCUGACUCUUAAACUCAUCCAAGUGGAAGAGGGCUAGGUGGGCAAUAGGUAAGUGGCAUCUAUCAAAACUGGGCCACGUUCUAGUACGAGCAACCAACAGGUUCAGUCGUCAGGAGAUCUUGCAAUGCAGACUGUCCAUUCUCAGUUGCUUUUAUUAAAGGGGAGGCAGUCUGCUUGUGACAGGCUGCUCAGGGAUGUCCGUGGGGAACCUGUCCAUUCAGUCACCCUUAAGCAGAUACUGAGGGCUUGGUUGAGUGCCUCAUCUGUGCUAGGCUCUAUUUUGAUGCUGAGGAUACAACAGUAAACGACUGCUGAAGCCUCUUGCUCCAUAAAGCUUACUUUUAGUGGGGAAGACAAUUACAAGUUGAGAUAAAUGCUGGAACAAAAACAAGGGGCUGGGAUAGAGAAUAGGAGCCACUUUUGAUGGAGCUGGCAGGGAGAGUGUCUUUGAGAAGGAGAUGUCGAAGUCAAAUGGAUGAGGAGACAGCCUGAAGAAAAGCCAGGCAGACACCUUCCAGGUUGAGAGCAGCAUGUGCCGAGGUCCUGGAAAAAGGUCUCCCUACUCCCUGAGAUACAACAAUCUUGAAAUUAGAUCAAUUAAUAACCCUACAAUGGCCUCCAAGUGUUCAAGCGAAAGGAAGGAAGAGUCAAUCAAUGUAACAAACUUCAUUGUCUCUUAUUUUAAGAAGUUGCCACAGCUGCCCCACUCUGAUCAGUCUGAGCCAUCAACACCAAGGCAAAAAGAUUACAACUCAAUGAAACCUCAGAUGAUGCCUAGUGUUCUUUAGCAAUAAAGUAUUUUUUGAUUAA